UACGUAGGCAGCAAGCGUUGUUCGGAGUUACUGGGCGUAAAGGGUGCGUAGGCGGUUGUUUAAGUUUGGUGUGAAAGCUCCCGGCUCAACUGGGAGGGUGCGCCGAAUACUGAAUGACUAGAGUGCGGGAGAGGAUAGUGGAAUUCCUGGUGUAGCGGUGAAAUGCGUAGAUAUCAGGAGGAACACCGGUGGUGUAGACGGCUAUCUGGACCGUAACUGACGCUGAGGCACGAAAGCGUGGGUAGCAAACAGG
rnacentral:rRNA from 1 species